ensembl:lncRNA
ACAAAUCACCGUAUGACAUUUCCUGAGCUCACUGCUGCAUGUAGAACAGAUGAAUCCUUUAGAUUAGAAGCAAAUGAAGAUCACCACCUUACUCAUUGUCCUCUGGUAGAUACUGGAGUUGAUAUGGUUGCUGGUUUUCCCCAUGAUUACAUGCACUUAGUGUGUUUGGGUGUUAUGAGGAGACUUCUUGAACUGUGGGUUGGCACUGCUGGCUCUUUGCGCACCAGAAUUUCGUCUUUGCAAGCAUCCUUAAUCUCUGAUAAACUUUUGGCAUUAGCACAUCAUAUUCCAUCUGAAUUUGCAAGGAAACCUCGGGCACUCAAUGAGAGACUGAGGUGGAAAGCAACAGAACUGCGCCAAUUUUUGCUGUUCACUGGUCCUAUAGUUUUGAAAGGUGUCUUGCUGCCUCAAGUGUAUGAUAACUUCAUGCUUCUUUCUGUUGCUAUCUAUAUUUUGGUUAGCCCGCAGUAUUGUUUACAAUUGAACCACUUGGCUCAUCAUUUUCUUGUCUCAUUUGUGGAGCAUUAUGGCUUGCUAUAUGGUAAAGACCAAGUAGUGUACAACAUUCAUGGGUUAGUGCAUCUUGCUGGUGAUGUGAAGGUACAUGGCCAUUUAGAUGGUAUCUCUGGCUUCCCUUAUGAGAACUUAUUGGGUGAACUUAAGAGAAUGAUAAGGAAAGCUCACAAUCCUCUACCACAGGUUAUACGCAGGUUAUCUGAACAUGAACAGAGGGGCUGUGAUUUUGAUUCACCCAUUGAGCAGGAACCCUUUUUAAAAUCUCCACAUCAUGAUGGGCCAGUACCAGAGGGCCUUUUGGAAAAUGUCAGUCAGUUCAAGCAGUUGACAGCCGAUGGUGUCAUUCUAAAAACAUCAAGUAAAGAUGACUGCAUUGUCAUUGACGGGAACGUUGUUUCUGUGCAAAACAUAGUUAGUCAUGAAGACAAAGUGUAUGCCAUGUACCAGGAGUAUAGAGUCAAAGAAGCACUUUACAGUUACCCACUCGACUCAAGGGAACUGGGAAUAUACAUCGUCUCUCAUUUGUCUCCUGUGAUGCACUGUGUAGAGAUGGUUAAGCCUGUGCAAA